rnacentral:tRNA from 1 species
GAGGCUUUAGCUUAAUUAAAGUGUCUGAUUUGCAUUCAGAGGAUACAGGUUAAUACCCUGUUGGCCUUA